rnacentral:rRNA from 1 species
GGAAGGGGCGAGCGUUGUUCGGAAUCAUUGGGCGUAAAGGGCGCGUAGGUGGUUCUGUGUGUCUACUGUGAAAGCGUACAGCUCAACUGUAUUUUGUCGGUAGAAACUGCAGGACUUGAGGCUGGGAGGGGCUGGUGGAAUUCCCUGUGUAGCGGUGAAAUGCGUAGAGAUGGGGGAGAACACUCGUGGCGAAGGCGGCCAGCUAGACCAGUUCUGACACUGAGGCGCGACAGCGUGGGGAGCAAACAGGAUUAGAUACCCUGGUAGUCCACGCUGUAAACGAUGGGCACUAGGUGCCGGCGGUCUUGAUCCCGUCGGUGCCGGCGCUAACGCAGUAAGUGCCCCGCCUGGGGAGUACGGUCGCAAGGCUGAA